rnacentral:rRNA from 1 species
UUGAUCCUGCCGGACCCGACUGCCAUCAGAGUGGGACUAAGCCAUGCGAGUCAACGUAGAAAUACGUGGCAUACGGCUCAGUAACACGUAGUCAACAUGCCCAGGGGACGUGGAUAACCUCGGGAAACUGAGGAUAAACCGCGAUAGGCCAUGAUUUCUGGAAUGGUUCAUGGCCGAAAUCUAUAUGGCCUUUGGAUUGGACUGCGACCGAUCAGGCUGUUGGUGAGGUAAUGGCCCACCAAACCUGUAACCGGUACGGGCUCUGAGAGGAGGAGCCCGGAGAUGGGUACUGAGACAAGGACCCAGGCCCUAUGGGGCGCAGCAGGCGCGAAACCUCUGCAAUAGGCGAAAGCCUGACAGGGUUAUUCUGAGUGACUUUCGUUAAGAAAGUCUUUUGACAUCUCUAAAAAUGGUGUAGAAUAAGGGGUGGGCAAGUCUGGUGUCAGCCGCCGCGGUAAUACCAGCACCCCGAGUGGUCGGGACGAUUAUUGGGCCUAAAGCAUCCGUAGCCGGUUUUACAAGUCCUCCGUUAAAUCCAACUGCUUAACAGAUGGGCCGCGGAGGAUACUAUAAGACUAGGAGGCAGGAGAGGCAAGCGGUACUCAGUGGGUAGGGGUAAAAUCCGUUGAUCCAUUGAAGACCACCAGUGGCGAAGGCGGCUUGCCAGAAUGCGCUCGACGGUGAGGGAUGAAAACUGGGGGAGCAAACCGGAUUUCAUACC